AAAAAAAAUAGAAAAGAAAACAAAACUAAAAACUAGUUGAAGAAGAAGAAACUUAAAAGUUUUAUAUAAAAGAUACAAACCAAAUUUAAACAUUAACAAAUUAAAUAAUAAAUAAAAUUAAAUAAUUUGGUAAUCAUAUGUAAUAUACAAAGCAUACAAAAGCCAACAAACUACUACUACUACAGCAACAACAUUAUAAGAAAAAAAAAACAACAAUUACCAAAUAAAUACACUGCAAGAAAUAUUUGUUUCAAUAAAAAGGAAAAACUUAAAACAUCAAGAACAAAUUGGCAGCAAUUUUAUAAAAAAACUAAUUUUAAAGAAAACUGAAAAAGACUUCCUGCUUAAAGUUUUCUUUUUUUUUCGUAAAAAAAAAACUAAAGAAAAAUUAACAUUAACUUUGGUGGCUAUUUAUAAAACGCUUAUAAAACAUUUAUUAUUGGCUA